CAGCCGCCGCGGUAAUACGUAGGGUGCGAGCGUUAAUCGGAAUUACUGGGCGUAAAGCGUGCGCAGGCGGUUAUGUAAGACAGAGGUGAAAUCCCCGGGCUCAACCUGGGAACUGCCUUUGUGACUGCAUAGCUAGAGUACGGUAGAGGGGGCUGGAAUUCCGCGUGUAGCAGUGAAAUGCGUAGAUAUGCGGAGGAACACCGAUGGCGAAGGCAAUCCCCUGGACCUGUACUGACGCUCAUGCACGAAAGCGUGGGGAGCAAACAGGAUUAGAUACCCUGGUAGUCCACGCCCUAAACGAUGUCAACUGGUUGUUGGGUCUUCACUGACUCAGUAACGAAGCUAACGCGUGAAGUUGACCGCCUGGGGAGUACGGCCGCAAGGUUGAAACUUAAAGGAAUUGGCGGG
rnacentral:rRNA from 1 species